AUACGGAGGGUGCAAGCGUUAUUCGGAAUCACUGGGCGUAAAGGACGCGUAGGCGGGUUGGCAAGUCAGAUGUGAAAUCCUACAGCUUAACUGUAGAACUGCAUUUGAAACUGCUAACCUAGAGUAUGGGAGGGGGAGAUGGAAUUAGUGGUGUAGGGGUAAAAUCCGUAGAUAUCACUAGGAAUACCGAAAGCGAAGGCGAUCUCCUGGAACAUAACUGACGCUAAGGCGUGAAAGCGUGGAGAGCAAACAGGAUUAGAAACCCUAGUAGUCC
rnacentral:rRNA from 1 species